AUUGAACGCUGGCGGCAGGCCUAACACAUGCAAGUCGAGCGGAUGACGGGAGCUUGCUCCUGGAUUCAGCGGCGGACGGGUGAGUAAUGCCUAGGAAUCUGCCUGGUAGUGGGGGACAACGUUUCGAAAGGAACGCUAAUACCGCAUACGUCCUACGGGAGAAAGCAGGGGACCUUCCGGCCUUGCGCUAUCAGAUGAGCCUAGGUCGGAUUAGCUAGUUGGUGAGGUAAUGGCUCACCAAGGCUACGAUCCGUAACUGGUCUGAGAGGAUGAUCAGUCACACUGGAACUGAGACACGGUCCAGACUCCUACGGGAGGCAGCAGUGGGGAAUAUUGGACAAUGGGCGAAAGACUGAUCCAGCCAUGCCGCGUGUGUGAAGAAGGUCUUCGGAUUGUAAAGCACUUUAAGUUGGGAGGAAGGGCAGUAAGCGAAUACCUUGCUGUUUUGACGUUACCGACAGAAUAAGCACCGGCUAACUCUGUGCCAGCAGCCGCCGCCGUA
rnacentral:rRNA from 1 species